rnacentral:misc_RNA from 1 species
GAUGAAGAACGUAGCGAAAUGCGAUAAGUAAUGAGAAUUGCAGAAUUCAGUGGAUCAUCGAAUCUUUGAACGCACAUUGCGCCCCUUGGUAUUCCGAGGGGCAUGCCUGUUCGAGCGUCAUUUCAACCCUCAAGCUCUGCUUGGUCUUGGGCCUGGCCGUGAUGGCCGGUCUUAAAAUCAGUGGCGGUGCCGUCGCAGGCUCCAAGCGUAGUACAUCUCUCGCUCUGGAAACUUGGCGGUGCCUGCCAGACAACCCCUAAUUUUCUCUUUCGGUUGACCUCGGAUCAGGUAGGGAUACCCGCUGAACUUAAGCAUAUCAAUAAGCGGAGGA